ACCCUGGGGGUAUAGGAAGGCCCGGAGGCCCAGGCUCGGUUAUGCUGGGCAAUGACAGGGAACCAUCUGGAUAACUGGCCAGCUUCUGGAAACUUCUUUCAUCACCAGACACGUCCUGGGCUAGGCCAGGCCGGGGUUGCCGCCUUCACGGAGGAACUGCCAGAUUGGUGAGAGCCGGGUGACGGGAAUGUGUGACGGGAGGCCAAGGUGCGUGCCCAGCCCACCAGAGAGGGCGUCAGGGAGAAAUGCCCAAGCCGGGCAAAGCUUGGGAUAGAUGCAGGUUUUCGGGCAAAGGGAACAGUCAAGGCCACAAAGCCAGAAUAGCUGGGACAGAAAGUGGGAAGGGUGGGGACAGACAAGGCGGCAGAAGCAGUACCCAGUAACGCAGUGAAUGACACACUGGGACUUUACCUUGGGAACUGCACCCACAGCUCUCUCCGGGGAGCCACAUUUUAGAAAUGGCUGGCAGUCACGUGGGAAAUGGAUGGUGGAGACAGGACUGAGUGCAGCCCGCCAGGUAAGAGGGGGUGGUGGCCUGGCCUGGUCGUGGCAGGAGGCAGGCAGAGGAACGGAGGGGAGCGGCUUAAGCAGAGUCAGAGUGCCAGGGAGCGGAAGGCCCUUGCUGGCUGGCCACACCAGUGCCCUGGCCAACUCCCUUCUCCUGAGCCCCCCAAUUCUAGAGCCUGGAGAAGUCAAACAUUCUCCCAAUCUCCCUUACAGCCAGGGGUGGCCAGAGACACAGUUCUUAAGCCAGAGACUUAAGUGGAAGUCUGCUUCUGCUUUCUUGAUAAAAGAGAUGAGUGUAGCUGGCGCCAUCCCUGCUCCCGCUGGGCACACCACUGGGAGGCUGGACCUGUGGCAGCCAUCUUGCGAAAAUGAGGCAACACAUGUGGGAUGAAAGCCAGCUCGCCCACAAUGGUGAAGCAGAAAGGCAGGAAGUCUGGGCUCCUGGCGUGGUGCUGAGCAGCAGAAUGGAUCUCUAACUAAACCCAUAGGGACAAAGUAAAUUAGACGGGAGAAAGCGAUCCGAGGGGGAAAACGGAGACAGGGAGAUGCAGGUCUCCAGCUUGGGCAGAUGGAUGGACGAUGGCACCCUCUGCUGAGAAAUGGCCUAAGGGAGGGAGAAGCUGCGAUUGAGUCUGGACAGGCUGAAUUUGGUGUGGGACAUCCAAGGCAAGCAGCCAAGAAGAUCUGGGGCUACGAGGUGAAGUCUGGCUGGAGAUUUGGGGCACCCUGGCACAGAGCCAGAACUAAGCUCCCCAGCACCACGUGGGAAGUGAGAGAGCGGAGGUCGGUAUCUGAGGGACGCCCCCUGCCCGGUCCUCAUGUGUUCUGCAGGCCAGGCUUUCAGUCGUGGUGAGAAAACGAGAUGAAUAAAGCUUUCUUCUAAGGGGGGAGCCAAUUAAAAGUUAAUUGACCUCCCACAGCCAUGUGGGUGGAUGCUGGGUGCUGGAGGCCUGUCAAGGGUGGUGUGGGGAGGAGCCUGAGUGCUCUCCCACCCAGGAAAUGGGACCUGGCUGGAGGCAGAGGUCGCUGGUUGUCUACCCAGUUUCCUACCCCUCUCCCUGCUUGCUAACCGAGAUCUCAUUCCGCCGGCAGCAACUGCCCGCAAGGAAAGACCACAUUUCGGCCUCCCUUGCAGCCAGGAGCGACCCACGCAGUAUGUCAGAGGCUACUGGGCGGGACUGACUGCAAAGUUCUAGAAAGGAACCCUGGGCCCUGGGAGGGACGGAUUCCACAGCUCUCUUGGAUCCUGGGGACGGGCACGUGGUCCUCCUGGCCAGGGACUAGCUCAAGGGGGCGUCUGUGACGGAACCCGGACCCCAAGCAUUAGCCCCGUCCUUUUGCUGGAACGUCAAGGAGCAGACAUUCUCUUGCCACUGCUAAGCAGAAAGGAUAAUCGUUGCGAGGCUGGCAGGGUUACAAUAGCUAAUAUUUACUGUGUGCUGGCUAAACACCAGCAUCGCUCUUCCGAAGGCCAUGACGAAUGCCACCAGCAGUCCUUAAGCCAACCCCAUGAACUGAGCACAGAUAAGAAAACGGGAGACCUGACAAUGAAGCGCCUCUCCCAGGGCAAAGCUACAAAGUGGCAGAACGAAGACUUCGGUUGUAAUGUCCAUACCCUGAUCCUUUCUCUGCCCCUGUCCACGAGCCUAGCCCUGCUACAGACCACUGCUGCCGGGAAUGAGGGAAGCCGAGACGGCAGAAAAGACCGUCAGGGAGAGAGAAACAGGUCUGAUAACACUGAGCUCCCUGGAUCCAGCCAUGCCUGGAACAGGACCCUCUGGACGUGAAGUUACUUGAGUCUAAAUUGCCUCUUUGUU